rnacentral:rRNA from 1 species
GCCCAGACUCCUACGGGAGGCUGCAGUCGAGAAUCAUUCGCAAUGGGGGAAACCCUGACGAUGCGACGCUGCGUGAGCGAUGAAGGCCUUCGGGUUGUAAAGCUCUUUCGCUAGGGAAUAAGAGAAGUCGGCUAAUAUCCGGCUGAUUUGAAGGUACCUGG